rnacentral:piRNA from 1 species
UAUAAUAUCCGGCCGUUGUUUGACUGC